rnacentral:tRNA from 2 species
CGCGGGGUGGAGCAGUUGGCAGCUCGUCGGGCUCAUAAUCCGAAGGUCACAGGUUCAAGUCCUGUCCCCGCAA